rnacentral:tRNA from 2 species
GGUCCCGCAGUGUAGCGGUUAUCACGUCGCCCUGUCACGGCGAAGAUCGCGGGUUCGAUUCCCGUCGGGACCG